UUCCGGUUGAUCCUGCCGGAGGCCAUUGCUAUCGGAGUCCGAUUUAGCCAUGCUAGUCGAGCGAGGUUAGCCCUCGCGGCGAACAGCUCAGGUACACGUGGCCAAGCUACCCUGCAGAGGGGGACAGCGUCGGGAAACUGACGGGAAUCCCCCAUACCGGUCUCACGCUGGAAUGCCGAGACCGACAAACGCUCCGGCGCUGCAGGAUGCGGCUGCGGCCGAUUAGGUAGUCGGUGGGGUAACGGCCCACCGAGCCGAUAAUUGGUACGGGGUGUGAGAGCACGAGCCCGGAGACGGAAUCUGAGACAAGAUUCCGGGCCCUACGGGGCGCAGCAGGCGCGAAACCUUUACACUGCACGAACGUGCGAUAAGGGGACUCCGAGUGCGAGGGCAUACAGUCCUCGCUAUUGUGUACCGUAGGGUGGUACACGACCAAGAGCUGGGCAAGACCGGUGCCAGCCGCCGCGGUAAUACCGGCAGCUCGAGUGAUGGCCGAUUUUAUUGGGCCUAAAGCGUCCGUAGCUGGCCCUGCAAGUCCGUCGGGAAAUCCACUCGCCUAACGAGUGGGCGUCCGGCGGAAACUACAGGGCUUGGGACCGGAAGACUUGAGGGGUACGUCUGGGGUAGGAGUGAAAUCCUGUAAUCCUGGACGGACCGCCGAUAGCGAAAGCACCUCAAGACGACGGAUCCGACAGUGAGGGACGAAAGCUAGGGUCUCGAACCGGAUUAGAUACCCGGGUAGUCCUAGCUGUAAACGAUGUUCGCUAGAUGUGGCACAGGCUACGUGCCUGUGCUGUGUCGUAGGGAAGCCGAGAAGCGAACCGCCUGGGAAGUACGUCCGCAAGGAUGAAACUUAAAGGAAUUGGCGGGGGAGCACUACAACCGGAGGAGCCUGCGGUUUAAUUGGAUUCAACGCCGG
rnacentral:rRNA from 1 species